rnacentral:lncRNA from 1 species
GGCUAGUCAAGUGAAGCAGUGUGAGUGGAGAAGUAUUUUCAUUUAUUGAUUUGAAGAAAAUCUUUGAAUGUUAAAGAGAAGAAUCUUUGGUCUGGAUGUGGUGGCUCAAGCCUGUAAUCUCAACACUUUGGGAGGCUGAAGUGGAGGAUCACUUGAGCCCAGGAGUUAAGAUGAGCUUGGGCAACACAGUGAGACUCCAUCUCUAAAAAAAAUGAAAAAGUUAGCUGGGCAUGGUGGCGCAUGCCUGUAGUCCAAACUACUUGGGAGGAUGAGGCAGGAGAAUCACUUGAGCCCCAGAGUUUAGGUAAUUCACUGCACUCCAGCCUCAGCAACAGAGUGAAACUCUGUCAAAGAAGAAAAGAAAAACAAAAAGAAAGAAUCUUUGGUUAAGGAUACUUUCCUCCAGUGUAAUUUGUCUUUCAACUUAGUUUAUGAUAAAUUUUGCUACAUAAAAGUUUUACAUUUUCAUAUAAUCAGAUCUAUCAUCCUUUAUACUUUAAGCCUUUAGUUUCAUGUUUACAAAUUCAUCUUAACACUCUCUCCACUGACAUG